AACUACCAGAGUCUUUGAAAAUCCCCGAAGAAAUGCCUGAACCUGAAUAUCCUUGAGAAGUUGCUGAUCAAUCUCCUGGAGGCUUGUAACAGGGCUGGUUACAAAUCUAUUUUCAAAGACUUGGUCACUAUUUCAAUAUAUGUCUCUGAAAAAUCUCUAAAGUCAGGUCUUUAAGAUCUCUAUUUUAACUAAAAUGGUCACUUUUUCCUUAUUUCGCUUGCAUUGAAUCCUGAUGCCAAAUUUUAGAGGUUCCCGAAAAACCUUCAGAGACUAUUACCCGACUAGUUCACAGGUUCUUCGUAAAUUUCUUCUCAGAUUCAUCGAGGAAAAGACUCAGGAAUUUUUGCUAGUAAUUUCGUUAGAUUUCUCCUGGAAUACUGUUAUGGAGUUCUCCAGUGAUUCUGCGAGCGUUAUUUCAAAGGAUGCUUAGAGGGAUUUUUUACAGAAUUUGGUCCAGGAAAUCCUUGAGCACCUCAUCGCUUCUAUUUCCUUUAGCUCCACAGAGACUAUCUCAGGAUUUUCUUCAGAUAUUUUCAAACUAAUUCUUCAACUGAUUUCUACAGUUAAAUUAUUAUAGGAGAUCUUCGAAAGAUUCAUACAGGCGUUCUUUCUAGAAAAUCUACACAGGUUCGUUUAAGAGUUUUCUAAGAAAUAAAUUUACGUAAUUACGCCAAUUUCUCCAGUUAUUCUUUCGGGCAUUUUCAUAUGACUUCCAAUAUAAGUUCAUCCACAUUUAUGCCCAGGAAUUAUUCGAAAAAUUCCUCCAACGAAUAUUCAUUCCAUUCAAGAAUUAGUCCUGCAGAUUUUCCAAACAAUUUCUCGAAUAAUUUCUCAAGUAAAUUUUAAUGGGUGCUUCAAAAGUACAUAUAAGUUUCUCAUCUGCUAUUACUACAGUAAUAGUUCCACACGCAGAAUAAUUUCAAUAUGUUGAAACUAAGAAUCCAUUGAUUAGAAUCAAUAAAACGUGUAUGUAUCAAAUCAAUCCAUUCGCAUAUUAGUUUCUAACCCAGCAUAUUUUAAAACCAACAAAAUUUCUAGUUGAAUAAAAAUAUGAUGCUCGAUUUUCGUUUCAACAAAAUACAAUUUUUAUUUCUACAAAUGUGAUUUGUAGAAUUGACAAUAUUUUCUAUUUACGGUCGCCAUCAUGAUUUUGUGAGAAAAAGUGACGCGAACGAAAUUAAUACUGCUGAAAGUGAAUCCGGCAAAAAAUAGUCAGAUUUUAUUGGAUUGCUGCAAAUUUUAUAUUUUCCAGACACUGUAAUAUUUUAAUUUGAGGUAAGUUAAUACUUUCUUUCGACAUUUCAUUUAUUUAUCACACAUUACAUUUUCAGCCAAUAUAGGGUGCAGAGCUACUAGGCACUUCCAUGAUUCAUUUUGGCAUCGGGGUUUAUUCUCGGCCGAAUUGUCUGAAACUCUGCAAAAAGAAGCAAUUCAAUAGAACGCAUAUUGUGCCCAAAUAUGAGCUCAGUAGCUUUCAAAAAACCCACUGCCGAAGUGAAUCAAAAGUGCCAAGAAUAGGAUCCGGCUCCCUAUAUAACGGAGAAAUGGAAAAUAUAUUUAAAGCGGCUGAUAGAAAACUAUCGCACAAGCAGAAGGAUGUGCCAUCCGGGUGAUUCAGCCACAACAACAGCUGAUGAUAUUCGAUGUGAACUAUAGAACCAAGGAACUACCCACGGAUGUAAUUUCUUCAACCGUAACACAAAAUUCUACAACAUCACAAAUAGACAAAUGAAGUGAUUUGAUAAACAUGGUUAAUAAUCACAUAAGAAGCUAAUUUUGUAAUAAACAAGAAAACAUUAAUAAAAAAGGCCUUUUGCAUCAUUGGUUAAGGGCAAUUAAAUUAAAAAAAAUGGUUUAUUGAAUCAACAAUUAUUAUUUUUUGUUUCUAUAUGACUCAUUCAGUUACUUCAAUAAAACGUUUUUAUAGAUCCAACAAACCGAUAUUAUUGUUUCAAAAAAUAUAUUUUUUGUAUUUGACAGUUAGCUGCUUGGAUGCAUUUUUAGAAACAACAAUAUUUAUUGUAGGAAUAAAUGAGCAUAUUUAUUGAAACAAUAAAAAAUACUGGUAAGCCGUGAGUCUACAAUAAAAUUUGUUGAAUCUAUACAGAAUUCUUUUGCAUUUACAAUAUAUUUCUCUGCGUGCAGUCAUUCCUCCGAUCAUUCCCACACACAUUUCUGAUCAGAUUUCAACCGAUAAUUUCCUAGAUAUCCUUGCAUGAUAUUAUCCAGAGACUUGAUUAAUUAUUUGUUUCAAUUAUAUUAGGAAUUUGUUUAGGAAAUGCACUAAGAUUUCUUCAAAAGUCCAGGAUUUCUUACAAAGAAUCUUGUCGGUGUUUAGCAAGAGGUAUUUUAGCACUUAAUCAUGUUUUAUCAGAUGUUACUUUAGAUAUUCCUUCUCAAAUGCCUCCCAGAUUAAGCUAAAGCUAUCAGUACACACUUUGUCAUACAGUAUUGGACAAAACAUUUGCAAUUUUUUCGAUUUUCUAUACAAAAUGGUCAUCUUACACCUUAGAGAAUUGAACCCGCUUUGGUCAACAUCAAUACACAGCAAAAAAAGUUGUUGAAUAUUACAUCUAAACCGCUGCAACCAAAUCAACUGUGCGGUUUUACACAGCACGAUGUACUGCCGAGCUUUUGAUGUGAUGAUUGGAAACGAUGUAAUAUAUCCGACUAUGUAAUCCAAGCGAUAUAGUAGGAAAGCGAUGUAUUCGAAGAUAUUUUAAAUUAUUACAAAUCUGCCUAAUUAUUGAAUGAAUAACUUUUUAUCAUUUUGUGUUUGAAAAUAAUAAUUGCUGACAGAGUUAUUACAAUGUAUAACAUUUAAUCAGAAUUUAGUUCGAAAAAAAGAUAAAAAGCGAUUUAUUAAACCAGUUAAUAGUCUCUAACUUUUAUUUGCAUAACUGCAGGUGUGUAUUGAAAUAUAAAUUAUUAAUUUUAAGUAAUUUAUUUGCACGUAUUACAAUGUAAUCCAUUUGAUGUACAAUAAUCAUAAAAAUUAUAGGCUGUAUACUCAUGCAGAUGGAAUGCCGCUUCAGUCCGCGGGUUGGACCUUGAUGUAGAGAACGCGAUAUGUCCGAUAACAUAUCCGCACCAUUUGUUAAAUAUGAUCUGAAAAAAAUAAGAAAUAAUUAAAAUAAACACAAUUAUUUGUA
rnacentral:lncRNA from 1 species